UUAUGAAGGAGAAACCGGAAGUCUCAUGUCAGCUACGGUACUUUUGUGACGUAAGCAACGACCUGAGAUAUCCAGAGUUUAAGUAGAUUGUUUCUCACUGCUGUUCUGUGAUAAACCAAAACAUUAUGUCAUACGCACUUGAGGAGACAGUUUCACCAUUUAAAUCAGAGG